CAGACACCAAACCAAAUCUUCUCCAGUUAACUCUUUUGGGAAAAGAACUGGAUGAGUAUCUGCUUGAGAACAAUCCUUGGAGGAUAAAGUGGUGGAUUCAGGCUAAAAGGGGCAGAUAUUCCACAGCACAUUGUGACUUCUGUGCUUGUGGGCGAAAGGUGUGUGGAAGAAAAGAAAGAAGGAGGUCAAGGUUGUAUGGUGAAAUGAUAUUCUGGAUGUUUAUCCUGGAGUUUGUGUUUGAUUUGGGGAUUCCUGAAGUAUCUAUUACUCUUAUCUUCCCCCAGUGACUGGGAUCAGGUUUCCCACAGCUUGGAAGGAGUGGGGAUGACAACAACAACAACAACAACAACUUGUAGAGCAAAUGGCCUUUCCUGGUGCUUUGCGUUCUAAUGUGCAUCUCUUCAGUUGGACAAGUUUUGCUACUGGGCAAAGAUCGUUAAAAGAACGGUGCAGUCUGACAGACUUGUGAGAGGAGAGAGAUUUAGUUUGCAGUGUCUUCAUUCUGCUCGUGGACAAAUAAGAUAUGUGGGUGGCGAUAAACGUGUUCACUGGAAAAAAAACCUUUUGAGAAAGAGGAGAGACAGACAGACAGACAGA